rnacentral:lncRNA from 1 species
UCCAUGUGCGAGAAGAACGGUCAACCCCUCCGCCGAUGCCAGUCAUUGCUCCGGCGGACACGGUGAGUUUCAUUUGAAUGGACAUUACUUAUUAGUCUUCACAUUUGAGUUGCAUCAUGCUAACGAGACAUUGCAAAUGAUCUUUAGUUUGGUGCAGCAUAACUCCCGACAAGCAUCGACGUCUGCCAUUGGCGCGAGCAAGAACCCCGAUCCUUCACCUACGGGUUGACGGUAAGUUUUGCCUUGUGCUUUGCUUAAUUAGCUCCAAAAUGACCUAUUUAACCUAGGAUAGCUCUAAAAUGACCUAUACUUAGCAUUUUUCCUCCAAAAUGACUUAAUAUGCUUAGCUAGCUCAAAAUUGACCUAUUUAACCUAGGAUAGCUCUAAAAUGACCUAUACUUAGCAUUUUUUCCUCCAAAUGACCUAUUUUACAGAUAUAAGUUGCAUCAUAAUAAUCUUCACAUUUUAGUUGCAUCAUAAUAAUCUUCUUCUUCUAGUCUUCUUCUUCUAAACUUUCUUCUUUCCCAUUUGGUAGAUUUGCUUCAGAUCACAGAAGCUUGGGUUGAUGGAGUGCUUGUCUUUAGUUUUUGUUUUGACUUUGUGAAACUUGCUACCUAUGAUGAAACUGUGUAAUAUUGAUGAAACUAUGUAUAUGUAUGGAUGAAAC